GAUGAACGCUGGCGGCGUGCCUAAUACAUGCAAGUCGAGCGAACAGACGAGGAGCUUGCUCCUCUGACGUUAGCGGCGGACGGGUGAGUAACACGUGGAUAACCUACCUAUAAGACUGGGAUAACUUCGGGAAACCGGAGCUAAUACCGGAUAAUAUAUUGAACCGCAUGGUUCAAUAGUGAAAGACGGUUUUGCUGUCACUUAUAGAUGGAUCAGCGCCGCAUUAGCUAGUUGGUAAGGUAACGGCUUACCAAGGCAACGAUGCGUAGCCGACCUGCGAGGGUGAUCGGCCACACUGGAACUGAGACACGGUCCAGACUCCUACGGGAGGCAGCAGUAGGGAAUCUUCCGCAAUGGGCGAAAGCCUGACGGAGCAACGCCGCGUGAGUGAUGAAGGUCUUCGGAUCGUAAAACUCUGUUAUUAGGGAAGAACAAAUGUGUAAGUAACUAUGCACGUCUUGACGGUACCUAAUCAGAAAGCCACGGCUAACUACGUG
rnacentral:rRNA from 1 species